GUGGGUAUAGGUCAGUGGUAGAGCGCAUGUUUGGCAUGCAUGAGGGCAUGAGGUUCUGGAUUCAAUCCCCAGUACCUCA
rnacentral:tRNA from 1 species